UUGGAGGGCAAGUCUGGUGCCAGCAGCCGCGGUAAUUCCAGCUCCAAUAGCGUAUAUUAAAGUUGUUGCAGUUAAAAAGCUCGUAGUUGAAUUUCGAAAUUUUUUUAUCGGUUGAAUCAACAGGUUCGUACUGAUUUUAAGAAUUUCUACCUUCUGGAGAACCUUAAUGUCAUUUAUUUGAUGUUUUGGGAAACCAGGACUGUUACCUUGAAAAAAUUAGAGUGUUUAAAGCAGGCUUAUGUCUGAAUAUAUUAGCAUGGAAUAAUGAAAUAGGACGGCAUGGUUCUAUUUUGUUGGUUUCUAGGAUCACCGUAAUGAUUAAUAGGGAUAGUUGGGGGCAUUAGUAUUCAAUUGUCAGAGGUGAAAUUCUUGGAUUUAUUGAAGACUAACUUCUGCGAAAGCAUUUGCCAAGGAUGUUUUCAUUAAUCAAGAACGAAAGUUAGGGGAUCGAAGACGAUCAGAUACCGUCGUAGUCUUAACCAUAAACUAUGCCGACUAGGAAUCGGACGAAGUUAAUUUUUUAAUGACUCGUUCGGCACCUUACGGGAAACCAAAG
rnacentral:rRNA from 1 species